GCGAGUAGGAGGAGAGUUGCAGAUGGAUAUCGUGGCCUGCUGAUGGUUUUGGAGCCCAGGUCCAGACAUUUCUUGAUUGAAGUAGACAUUCAAGAAGUGUGAAAUGCACAGUCAGAAAAUCUGGGACUUCUCUUUUUCCUUGUCAGAAUCAGGAUUGAAAAAUGAUUCAGCGGGGAAUAGCUUCUUUACAGUGAGAGCCCGUGUUAUUGAUUUUUGUGUCUGUAUACAACCUAAAAGAAUGGAGGCGUGUGUCCCUCUCUUUCGGAAAUAAUGAUAUCAUCCAUGUGUAAUUAAUUAUGUGGGGCCCAUGUUGGAAGACUGUGUAGCCAGCUCUUGGCUGUCGAAGCACUGACUACAUGGAUUUAACCUGCCAUUGACAGUGGCGCCAUUUUUCUGGUCCUCCAGAGGAACAUAAACCUGUCCAUUUUACUCAUCUUGAAGGAGUUUUGGCAAAACAUGUAUUAGGGCAGAAAAUGAAACCUCACUAGAGCUCCCUUUG
rnacentral:lncRNA from 1 species